rnacentral:rRNA from 1 species
UAGUCCACGCCCUAAACGAUGUCAACUAGCUGUUGGGGCCGUCAGGCUUUAGUAGCGCAGCUAACGCGUGAAGUUGACCGCCUGGGGAGUACGGUCGCAAGAUUAAAACUCAAAGGAAUUGACGGGGACCCGCACAAGCGGUGGAUGAUGUGGAUUAAUUCGAUGCAACGCGAAAAACCUUACCUACCCUUGACAUGUCUGGAAGGCCGAAGAGAUUUGGCUGUGCUCGCAAGAGAACUGGAACACAGGUGCUGCAUGGCUGUCGUCAGCUCGUGUCGUGUGAUGUUGGGUUAAGUCCCGCAACGAGCGCAACCCUUAUUUCUAGUUGCCAUUUGGAACUCUAGAAAGACUGUCGGUUAUAAACCGGAGGAAGGCGGGGAUGACGUCAAGUCAGCAUGCCCCUUAUGCCCUGGGCUACACACGUGCUACAAUGGACGAGACAAUGAGUUACAAAUCUGCGUAGAUAAGUUAAUCUAUAAACUCGUUCUAAGUUCGGA